AAAGAUUAAGCCAUGUAUGUCUAAGUAUAAGCACUUCACACAGUGAAACUGCGAAUGGCUCAUUAAAUCAGUUAUCGUUUAUUUGAUAGUACCUUACUACAUGGAUACCUGUGGUAAUUCUAGAGCUAAUACAUGCUAAAAACCCCGACUUCAGGAAGGGGUGUAUUUAUUAGAUAAAAAACCAACGCCCUUCGGGGCUCCUUGGUGAAUCAUAAUAACUUAACGAAUCGCAUGGCCUUGCGCCGGCGAUGGUUCAUUCAAAUUUCUGCCCUAUCAACUUUCGAUGGUAGGAUAGUGGCCUACCAUGGUGGCAACGGGUAACGGGGAAUUAGGGUUCGAUUCCGGAGAGGGAGCCUGAUAAACGGCUACCACAUCCAAGGAAGGCAGCAGGCUCGCAAAUUACCCAAUCCCGAUACGGGGAGGUUGUGACAAUAAAUACUGAUACGGGGUUCUUUUGGUUCUCGUAAUUGUAAUGAGAACAAUUUUAAUCCCUUAACGAGGAACAAUUGGAGGGCAAGUCUGGUGCCAGUAGUCGCGGUAAUUCCUGCUCCUAUUGCUUAUAUUAAAGUUGUUUCAGUUAAAAAAUCUCGUAGUUGAACCUUGGGUCUGGCUGGCCUGUCCUCCUCACCUCUAGUACUGGUCCGGCUGGACCUUUCCUUCUGGGGAACCCUCAUGGCCUUCACUGGCUGUGGGGGGAAACCAGGACUUUUACUGUGAAAAAAUUAGAGUGUUCAAAGCAGGCCUUUGCUCGAAUACAUUAGCAUGGAAUAAUAGAAUAGGACGUGCGGUUCUAUUUUGUUGGUUUCUAGGACCGCCGUAAUGAUUAAUAGGGAUAGUCGGGGGCGUCAGUAUUCAGCUGUCAGAGGUGAAAUUCUUGGAUUUGCUGAAGACUAACUACUGCGAAAGCAUUCGCCAAGGAUGUUUUCAUUAAUCAGGGAACGAAAGUUAGGGGAUCGAAGACGAUCAGAUACCGUCGUAGUCUUAACCAUAAACUAUGCCGACUAGGGAUCGGACGGGCUUCUAUGAUGACCCGUUCGGCACCUUACGAGAAAUCAAAGUUUUUGGGUUCUGGGGGGAGUAUGGUCGCAAGGCUGAAACUUAAAGAAAUUGACGGAAGGGCACCACAAGGCGUGGAGCCUGCGGCUUAAUUUGACUCAACACGGGGAAACUCACCAGGUCCAGACAAAAUAAGGAUUGACAGAUUGAGAGCUCUUUCUUGAUCUUUUGGAUGGUGGUGCAUGGCCGUUCUUAGUUGGUGGAGUGAUUUGUCUGGUUAAUUCCGUUAACGAACGAGACCUUAACCUGCUAAAUAGUUAGGCCAACGUUUGUUGGUCGUCAACUUCUUAGAGGGACUAUUGACUAUUAGUCAAUGGAAGUUU
rnacentral:rRNA from 1 species